CUCCUCUUAUACUGACUUAACAUCGCAUAUUCCCUCUACACCUUCCUAAAUCCCGUAUUCAACACUGAAUGCAAUCUUGUGAGCUCGUCACUCCCACAAUCCUCAGUACCUUAUACUCUUAUCAGUAGAAAUGCAGGCAAGCGGGGAGGAGAGGGGGGGGAGAAAGUUAGACAGUGCAAAAAAGGGAGUGAAGCUGCAGGCAUGAAGAUUAACCAUGUGAGUGCUGGAAAGUAACAAGACAGAAGGACAGAGACUUAUACGUUUGGAAACCAGAAAUCUUUGACGGGAGAAACGGACUGGAGGUGCAGGGAGCUGCAGAGAGAGGAUGAGGGUGACGAGAUCUGUAGGACUG